ACAGAACAUGAGGACUCUUAUCAACUAAUUCAUGAUAAAGAUAUUUAGCCUGAAGGGAGUUUCUAACAGCUCCCUGAUGGUAUGCAUGGAUGGAGAUUUUACUGCUGUUCUGUAGUGUACUGCUUUCUCACAAGUGCUUAAUAGCCUCCCCCCUGCCAAAAAGAGAUUUCUCUUUCAAAUGAGGACACACUGUGAUCUUCCACUGCCGUAGUCUCCAUUUAUCUUGUUCUUCCUCUAGAAGAAAAUGUUUCCGAUGCUGCUUUUUAAUUCAGAAGAUGAACCUCUCUGCAAGAUUCAGCAGUAAGCUUAUUUACUUGUGUUACUUUUUCCCCUGCUAAGGCCCUUGUCCUGACAAGGCAGAGAGAAGAGAAAGGGAUCCUGUCACGUGAUGGGAUUCAACUGCUGGGACAGGUGGAGUUAUUGCCCUGUGCCUCCUGUGCACUCAAGGUCCUCCUUAAAGCCUCUGGAGCCUGGACAAACACUCUCCUGUCACAUAGCCAGACGCUCAGCAGGCCACUACUGCUAUGUUCCCAUGGAGCUCAACGACCUUGAUUCCCAGCCCAGUGAAGGUAAUAAAAGGACUACCAUUUACUUCAAUGAGCUCUGUAAAUAACCAACAAAUGAAAAUAAGGACACUAACCAGUUCAUCUCUAAAAUCCUGGGAGAAUACAGGAGGAAUAAGAGAAGUGGUGGAAGUUAUAAGCAUUAAGACAUACAUCAGGUCUGUCAUCUCAUGUCAUUCGUGUGCCUAAAACCUGUGGUGUUUAAUCACGGAGUUAAGCUCUAAGACACACACAUGACAGAAAAG